GACGAACGCUGGCGGCGUGCUUAACACAUGCAAGUCGAACGAAGUAGCAAUACUUAGUGGCGAACGGGUGCGUAACACGUGACUAACUUGCCCUAGACUGUGGAAUAACGGAGGGAAACUUCCGCUAAUACCGCAUGUUGAGCUUUGGUGGCAUCACCGGGGCUUGAAAGAUUUAUCGGUCUAGGAUAGGGUCGCGGCCUAUUAGCUUGUUGGUGAGGUAAUGGCUCACCAAGGCAACGAUGGGUAGCUGGUCUGAGAGGAUGAUCAGCCACACUGGGACUGAGAUACGGCCCAGACUCCUACGGGAGGCAGCAGUGAGGAAUAUUGCGCAAUGGACGAAAGUCUGACGCAGCAACGCCGCGUGAAGGAUGAAGGUGCUCUGCAUUGUAAACUUCUGUAGGGAGGGAAGAAUGACCUGCUAUUGGCGGGUUUGACGGUACCUCCAAAGUAAGCACCGGCAAACUUCGUGCCAGCAGCCGCGGUAAUACGAAGGGUGCGAGCGCUAAUCGGAAUUACUGGGCGUAAAGCGCGCGUAGGUGGUUGAGUAAGCGAUCUGUGAAAGCCCCGGGCUUAACCUGGGAACUGCAGGUCGAACUGCUUAGCUAGAGUAUGGUAGAGGGGUGUGGAAUUUCCUGUGUAGCGGUGAAAUGCGUAGAUAUAGGAAGGAACAUCAGUGGCGAAGGCGACACCCUGGACCGAUACUGACACUGAGGCGCGAAAGCGUGGGUAGCGAACAGGAUUAGAUACCCUGGUAGUCCACGCCGUAAACGAUGUCUGCUAGCCGUUGGAGGGCUUGUCCCUUCAGUGGCGGAGCUAACGCGAUAAGCAGACCGCCUGGGGAGUACGGCCGCAAGGUUAAAACUCAAAUGAAUUGACGGGGGCCCGCACAAGCGGUGGAGUAUGUGGUUUAAUUCGACGCAACGCGAAAAACCUUACCCGGUCUUGACAUCCUGGGAACCCUUUAGAGAUAGAGGGGUGCCGCAAGGAGCCCAGAGACAGGUGCUGCAUGGCUGUCGUCAGCUCGUGUCGUGAGAUGUUGGGUUAAGUCCCGCAACGAGCGCAACCCCUGUCCCUAGUUGCCAGCAUUCAGUUGGGCACUCUAGGGAGACUGCCGGUGACAAACCGGAGGAAGGUGGGGAUGACGUCAAGUCAUCAUGGCCCUUACGACCGGGGCUACACACGUACUACAAUGGAACGCACAGAGGGUUGCAAUACCGCGAGGUGGAGCUAAUCCCACAAAACGUUUCGUAGUCCGGAUCGGAGUCUGCAACUCGACUCCGUGAAGUCGGAAUCGCUAGUAAUCGCGAAUCAGCAUGUCGCGGUGAAUACGUUCCCGGGCCUUGUACACACCGCCCGUCACACCAUGGGAGUUUACUGCACCAGAAGCCGGUAGCUUAACCGUAAGGGGGGCGCCGUCCACGGUGUGGUCGAUGACUGGGGUG
rnacentral:rRNA from 1 species